UACGGGGCGCACCAGCUACGGAAACUUCACAAUGCCCGAAAGGGUGAUGAGGGAACCCCAAGUGCUUCCGUUUUACGGAAGCUUUUCUCUGGCUUAGGGAACCAGGGGAAUAAGAGCUGGGUAAGACCGGUGCCAGCAGCCGCGGUAA
rnacentral:rRNA from 1 species